rnacentral:rRNA from 1 species
GAUGAACGCUGGCGGCGUGCCUAAUACAUGCAAGUCGAGCGAACGGACGAGAAGCUUGCUUUUCUGAUGUUAGCGGCGGACGGGUGAGUAACACGUGGAUAACCUACCUAUAAGACUGGGAUAACUUCGGGAAACCGGAGCUAAUACCGGAUAAUAUUUUGAACCGCAUGGUUCAUAAGUGAAAGACGGUCUUGCUGUCACUUAUAGAUGGAUCCGCGCUGCAUUAGCUAGUUGGUAAGGUAACGGCUUACCAAGGCAACGAUGCAUAGCCGACCUGAGAGGGUGAUCGGCCACACUGGAACUGAGACACGGUCCAGACUCCUACGGGAGGCAGCAGUAGGGAAUCUUCCGCAAUGGGCGAAAGCCUGACGGAGCAACGCCGCGUGAGUGAUGAAGGUCUUCGGAUCGUAAAACUCUGUUAUUAGGGAAGAACAUAUGUGUAAGAAACUGUGCACAUCUUGACGGUACCUAAUCAGAAAGCCACGGCUAACUACGUG